CAAGUCUGACGGAGCGACGCCGCGUGCAGGAUGAAGUCCCUCGGGAUGUAAACUGCUGUCAGGGGUUUGGAAGAACGUGACCAGCCCCAGAGGAAGCAUCGGCUAACUCCGUGCCAGCAGCCGCGGUAAUACGGAGGAUGCGAGCGUUGUUCGGAAUCACUGGGCUUAAAGCGCAUGUAGGCGGGGUACCAGGUGCCUUGUGAAAGCCCUCGGCUCAACCGAGGAACUGCUUGGCAAACCGGUACUCUUGAGGUAGGUAGAGGCGCGUGGAACCUUCGGUGGAGAGGUGAAAUUCGUAGAUAUCGAAGGGAACGCCGGUGGCGAAAGCGACGCGCUGGGCCUGUCCUGACGCUGAGAUGCGAAAGCGUAGGUAGCAAACGGGAUUAGAUACCCCGGUAGUCUACGCCGUAAACGAUGCGCACUAGGUACGAGAGCCUCUGACGGCGUUCGUGCCGAAGCAAAAGUGUUAAGUGCGCCGCCUGGGGAGUACGGCCGCAAGGCUA
rnacentral:rRNA from 1 species